AUUGAUAAUCUGGAAUAUCUUUCUAGCUUGCCUCCCGUGUCACAUGCACAAUUUCCCAUUUUUGUUGAUAUGCCACAACAUGCAUUAGGAUUGACUCUGGGGCAACAAUAUCCAACCACUUCCAAUAUUCAUUUCCUCACUCCUCAAUACAAAAUUACCACAUGCUCGGCUCCGCCUGCUAUUCAUGCUUUUGCAGCCCCACUU
rnacentral:lncRNA from 1 species